UACCAUUAGACAACACAUUAUGCUUCCAAUAUCUUCCCAGGCGGUAGUACCUCCCUGUUUGGUAGCUGCCUAUCUACCUUAUUGACAGUCAAUAUGCCAAACACUUCAGUAAGGCAUUUGAGGCACUCGAUGCUUACAAUGUAUACUAGAUCAGUGGUAACACAAGUAGCAACAGAGCUAAAGAAACAACAACAGGUACAUCCAUACUAACACCAGUAGCAGGAAGACCAUGAGGAUGAUUGUGUCACAGUGGACGAGCACAAUGGUGGUGGUGCUGGCGGUGGUGUCUUCUACGGCAGCUAUUAAGUGCUUCACUUGCUCCGACUGUGGUGACAGCGCUGGCACCCUCCAGGAGUGCUCCUCCAGCUCCGACGUCUGCAUGAAAAUUGAAGCUGCUGGACACACGAAGAAAUCAUGCGUAAACAAGGCUGUCUGCAGCUUGGGAACAGUUGAACAUGGAGUUGUGAAUGCAUGGAACAACUUUAAGAACUGGAUAAGCGAUUUUAAUCAAGACAUUGAGAUUUCAGAUGAAGCAGUGGCAAAGAUGAUAGAGUGUUGUGAUGACAACUAUUGCAACUCUUCUGUCUCCAAGCUGAUGAACCCUCUCUUCCUCCUCCUGCCUCUCCUUACGUGCCUGUUUUGGCACUAAAGGCUCACCUUGAGUAGACUUAGUAAGAUUGCUGUAUUGUAUUUUGCAUGCUAUUUUGUUUCUGGUAUUUGCUAUCCAACUUGUGGUAAACUCCAUUCAUAUCAGACUAAAUGUUUACUGUAUAGGUGAAAAUUGAACUAGACAUGUAUAGGGGAAACUAUAAACCAUAUAUAGUUGGGUUGAACCUCUUUAAUCCGACAGCCUUGGGACCCGGGCAGAGUCAAACGUUAGAAUUUACCAAUUUAUGGGAGUUUCGUCAAAGCUGUCGAGAAGACUUACUUCGAGAACCACAGUACAGAUACCACCUUCUCUCUUGCAUAUCUUAGAUACUAUUGGCUAAUAAUAAAAAACAUAUAAAAAGUAAAGAUAAAAGAAAAGUACAGUUUUAUUAUUUACUUACCUGUGUGUUCCUCCUGCAACCUAGCACAGUUCUUUGCUUUUUUAUGUCUGGUAGCUGCUUCUUCAGCUUCUGUUGCUAACAGUUUCCUUGACAUAGAGCACCAAAACAAUGUACUUCAGUCAAUGCUGUGAGUAUUUUAUCAGUGGCCAAUUUCUGAUUCAUAGUUCACAAAAUAAGAUCAUCCAUGUGUUUGACAGCUGAAUCCCAGCCACAGACACAGUACAAAAUUGAUGCCACUUUGCUUCUUAACCACUUGUGUACAGGGUUCCCUCUCUGCUGAAUAAAAUCUUCUGGGGGUAAGACAUAAAGUUGCAUCCCAUAGUGAAGGGGUUGAACUUAUGAAGCUAACCUUGAGAAUAUUCACUCAAAGCUAUGGAAUAACUUCACUUGCUCCAUCAACAUUUGCUUGUUUAAGGAACAGCUUCACUGUACUGUAGUUAACCUAAACCACUGCAUCGGGGCGUAUUCUUAAUAUUCUUACACGUAAGCAUAUAAGCUAAGUACAGGUUCAUUUUGUAAAAUCCAGUUUUAAGGAACUCCACUCUCAUAGUAAUUCUUAUUAAAAUUUUGACUGUAAUGUACUGGAUUCCAAUAGAGGAAAAGAUUAUUCCUGUUCACUGUGAAUUUAGACCCAAGUCCUUGGCUGUCGGUCACCAGUCCGUACUGCCAUAUCUUGGUGUCAGAGUCGAGCCCUUGGCGUAAACUGUGGCGUUCCUCUGCUGACACCUGCCUUGGCCUCCUCCUCAGUAAUUAAAUCGGUGUUUUCAGUUAUAUAAGUUACUUAGUGGACUUUAAAGCAUCAAGUAUGGUAUGUUCAUGUAUUUUAUGUAUUAAACCUGUACUACAUAAAUAAAGAACAAAGAACAA